rnacentral:antisense_RNA from 1 species
AGAGAUCUAUUCAACUGAUAGCAGCCGCCUCUUCUGGGGAGAGCAGAUCUUUCAGAAAGCACUGGCUGCGCUGCUAAUCAAACGCAACAUUGUUCUCAGCAAGGAGGAAGAAUGGAAAGUGUCCCCUUGUGGCCAAGCCUGGAACAUCACAUCCGUACAUUGCAAUCUGUGGAUCAGCUACGAGACUGAGAGAAAGGAAUUAAAGGAUGGAAGAAUUACAAGAUCAGGCACUGUUGUCUGUCUGAUCCACGGAUGUAACCACAGCAUACGCACGGCUCACAGUACUAGUGUGAUAAAUGCUUGUUACAUGAAGGCAUUUACAGGGAUGAGAAGAGACUUCCUGGAGAAACAAAAGGGACUAACAAUCAGGAAAGGGAGGUGAUCGGGGCAGGAGUCAAGUGGACACCUCAGCAAA